rnacentral:tRNA from 1 species
GGCGUACCCAAGUGGUUAAGGGAGAGGUCUGCAAAACCUUUAUUUAGCGGUUCGAUUCCGCUCAACGCCU